rnacentral:rRNA from 1 species
GGGUCAGUAGGUUGGUCGUGCCACCGGUACGUACUGGUCUCACUGAUUCCUCCUUCCUGAAGAACCGUAAUGCCAUUAAUUUGGUGUUGCGGGGAAACAGGACUGGUACUUUGAAAAAUUUAGAGUGUUUAAAGCAAGCUAACGCUUGAAUACAUUAGCAUGGAAUAAUGAAAUAGGACGAUCGAUCCUAUUUUGUUGGUUUCUAGGAUUGACGUA